CGCGUGUCAUUCUCACUGACAGACGCGCUCGUCUGCUAUAUCCACGUUCCUCCGUUGCAAAUGCAAGACAUGACUGUGUACUGAUGGAGCCACGUCGCAAACAAGACAGCGCAGCAGAAAUAAACACAUCUUGAGCAAUGCGAUCUGAUCUGGAGGAUAGGGGGCUGUUUAGAGCGGAGAGGGACAGACAGAGAACGCUUUUACGCACGGUGACACUUGGGUAACAGCUUUGUUUUGCCCCUUAUUUGCGACACUCUACAUUUUAAGAAUGUGAUUGUAUGUAGUGCUACAUAAUUCCAUCAUUUUUGAACUGAUAAGACUUUUCCUGUCAUGUUUUUCAGUGACCAAACAGCAUGUGUGCAGUACAUGAUACAGUAGAAUCAGUGGACAUUGACAUAUGACAUUAAUGUUUAUCUUUUAAAGUAUUAUAAUUAUGAUGUUGAUUAUUAUUUGGGUUUUAGAGCAGACAUGGUCUUUUUGUGUCCUUUUUCGUUUCAUUUUGAAAAAGUGGCUGUAUAUGUCACGAAUCGGCAAGGAAGAACCCAAGUGCAGGGAGGCGGUGGUGAAGGGGUUAACAGAAAUAUUUUAUUUUUUACAACAAACAAACAAAGGAAAUACCCACGAGGGGGUGUCAACAACAGGAACGAACUAAAAUACAAACUAGAAACAAAACACUUCCCUCGGUGGGGCAAAACAAAACUAAACCAAACUCGACACAACGUCCAGGAACAGGGGAAGGAAAGCCAAAAGCCAACAAGACAAGAUUGCAGGUGGCAGCGAAGAAAACAGACUGUAGCUGGGGCGGAUGGAAUCCCUGAUGAUCUGGAGAGCUAUUGACGGGCAUCAAUGGCUGUCUGCAAUGGCCGAGUUCAGUGAUGCGCUGGGCAAUUGUGACUGCCCACUGAAGGGCUUUCCGGUCUGAGGGUGUACAGCUGUCAUACCAGCCUGAGAUACAGCAGGUCUGAAUGCUCACAGGAGGUUCUCGAGGAGCUAGAAACGCAGGACAGGCCUACCUGAAGAUGGAGUCGAUGUGUCCCAGAUGUCAUGUCUUCUGUCAGACGUGUAAGCUGAGAGACAGGAAUGGCAUGGCCGGUGAAGCCCCAGUGAGCAGGAGGGUCAUCCUUCAGCCCAUAGACAGGCUGAGAGACAGCCACAUGGCACACAUCUCCAAAUGACAGCCUGUCACUGACAGGAGAUCCGCCAUACGGCCCUGUCACCCCUCACCUGACUGAACUUGGCCCACUGUACUCUCUCACUGAGGGGCGACUUGCGUCACUGUCAAACUAAUAGUGGUUAAAGGUGAAAAAUUUCCAUUUUUGCCAUAAGCCCCAUCUGUACAUUUAUAUUUUAAGAUCAAGACUUAAUUAUCUAUUCAGAAUUGCCCAUGACCAUGUCUCUGCUGUCACAGAGAGGAAGCUGAGAGUGGAACUUAUGAAUGUGGAUUAGUAGAAAUGUGAAUGCUGUGGUCAUUUUAAUAGAAUAUUUCUCUGUGAUAACUGCACACGUGAAAUGUCUUGAGAUAGGCGAGAGCGGGGCUAGUUCUCAUACUUUCUAUUACAAUUAAUUUUUAACAGGGAAGGGUUUAUUUUAAGUCUGCCUCUAUGAGUAGUAUUGCAACUCUGUUCUAGAUAUAGGGGGCAGAUUGUCACACUUUCUCUUGUUAUUUAAUGGCAGAGAAAUAGAAAAAAAUGUAAACCGGAACCUAAAAAACUGCAAAAGUUUUUAAUA